GUAGGUGGCAAGCGUUGUCCGGAAUUAUUGGGCGUAAAGCGCGCGCAGGCGGUUCUUUAAGUCUGAUGUGAAAGCCCACGGCUCAACCGUGGAGGUCAUUGGAAACUGGAGAACUUGAGUACAGAAGAGGAAAGCGGAAUUCCACGUGUAGCGGUGAAAUGCGUAGAGAUGUGGAGGAACACCAGUGGCGAAGGCGGCUUUCUGGUCUGUAACUGACGCUGAGGCGCGAAAGCGUGGGGAGCAAACAGGAUUAGAUACCCUGGUAGUCCACGCCGUAAACGAUGAGUGCUAAGUGUUAGGGGGUUUCCGCCCCCUUAGUGCUGCAGCUAACGCAUUAAGCACUCCGCCUGGGAGUACGGCCGCAAGGCUG
rnacentral:rRNA from 1 species